UACGAGGGGGGCAAGCGUUGUUCGGAAUUAUUGGGCGUAAAGCGUGCGUAGGCGGUUCGUUAAGUCUGUUGUGAAAGCCCCGGGCUCAACCUGGGAAUGGCAAUGGAUACUGGCGAGCUAGAGUGUGUCAGAGGAUGGUGGAAUUCCCGGUGUAGCGGUGAAAUGCGUAGAGAUCGGGAGGAACAUCAGUGGCGAAGGCGGCCAUCUGGGACAACACUGACGCUGAGGCACGAAAGCGUGGGGAGCGAACAGG
rnacentral:rRNA from 1 species